CCUGUUGCUUUCUACAGGCCAGACAUCUGCAGCAAAUAACAUACAGCUCCUAGUGAAUAUUUUUGCAUUUGGUUGGAUUUGUUUUUGUUUUCAUUUUUCUUAAUCUUUUCAAAAUGGGAGCUUGUAUAAGCGGGAAGCCUGGUAUCUAAGCUGUGGCAUCUAGUAAUAGAUUGCCUUGAAACCACCCAAACUGAUGUGGAAGCCUGGGACAAGAUGACUACAUGCAGGAGCUUCUGCACUCUUGGAAGUCGUGGAAUUUGUUCCUGAGAAACAAGACUCAUUUAUUUAUAUAAAGCACUUUAGUCAAUGUUCUAUAAAUUGCAAGAAACAAUUCAAAAUGAA